CAGAGUUAUCCAACUCCCAAACCCAUGUGAACUUAUCUCUUUGUUGCCUCGGCGCAAGCUACCCGGGACCUCGCGCCCCGGGCGGCCCGCCGGCGGACAAACCAAAACUCUUGCUAUCUUAGUUGAUUAUCUGAGUGUCUUAUUUAAUAAGUCA
rnacentral:misc_RNA from 1 species